AGAGUUUGAUUCUGGCUCAGGAUGAACGCCGGCGGUGUGCCUAAUACAUGCAAGUCGUACGCACUGGCCCAACUGAUUGAUGGUGCUUGCACCGGAUUGACGAUGGAUCACCAGUGAGUGGCGGACGGGUGAGUAACACGUAGGUAACCUGCCCCGGAGCGGGGGAUAACAUUUGGAAACAGAUGCUAAUACCGCAUAACAACAAAAGCCACAUGGCUUUUGUUUGAAAGAUGGCUUUGGCUAUCACUCUGGGAUGGACCUGCGGUGCAUUAGCUAGUUGGUAAGGUAACGGCUUACCAAGGCGAUGAUGCAUAGCCGAGUUGAGAGACUGAUCGGCCACAAUGGAACUGAGACACGGUCCAUACUCCUACGGGAGGCAGCAGUAGGGAAUCUUCCACAAUGGGCGCAAGCCUGAUGGAGCAACACCGCGUGAGUGAAGAAGGGUUUCGGCUCGUAAAACUCUGUUGUUGGAGAAGAACGUGCGUGAGAGUAACUGUUCACGCAGUGACGGUAUCCAACCAGAAAGUCACGGCUAACUACGUGCCAGCAGCCGCGGUAAUACGUAGGUGGCAAGCGUU
rnacentral:rRNA from 1 species